rnacentral:rRNA from 1 species
UACGAAGGGGGCUAGCGUUGUUCGGAAUUACUGGGCGUAAAGGGCGCGUAGGCGGCUUCGAUAGUCGGGCGUGAAAUGCCUGGGCUCAACCCGGGAACUGCGUUCGAAACUUCGAGGCUAGAGUGUGGGAGAGGUUGGUGGAAUUCCCAGUGUAGAGGUGAAAUUCGUAGAUAUUGGGAAGAACACCGGUGGCGAAGGCGGCCAACUGGACCACAACUGACGCUGAGGCGCGAAAGCGUGGGGAGCAAACAGGAUUAGAUACCCCUGUAGUCC